rnacentral:rRNA from 1 species
AAAGAUCAAGCCAUGCAUGUCUAAGUAUAAGCAAUUAUACAGCGAAACUGCGAAUGGCUCAUUAAAUCAGUUAUCGUUUAUUUGAUAGUACCUUACUACUUGGAUAACCGUGGUAAUUCUAGAGCUAAUACAUGCUAAAAACCCCGACUCACGAAGGGGUGUAUUUAUUAGAUUAAAAACCAAUGCCCUUCGGGGCUCUUUGGUGAUUCAUAAUAACUUUUCGAAUCGCAUGGCCUUGCGCCGGCGAUGGUUCAUUCAAAUUUCUGCCCUAUCAACUUUCGAUGGCAGGGUCUUGGCCUGCCAUGGUUACAACGGGUAACGGGGAAU